rnacentral:RNase_P_RNA from 2 species
UAUGUAACAAAAACCACUGAGGUCACAUACAGGGUGCUUGUCACUCACUGUUCAAUGCCUCUAGGAAGGUCAGGAAUUGCCGUUGCAGGGCAUCACCUGCUGCAGGUGAAUGAGUUACCGGCUAUGUUGGGCCCUGGGUGUGGGGCGAAUUGGUCAGGAGAAGCUAGAGGAAGCCCCCUAGUGGAUGCCCAGGCCCCUCACAAGGGUUUGGGACAGACUCAUGUCUGGCAGCACCAAACACCAUUCUGUAUUUGACAUA